rnacentral:lncRNA from 1 species
GUGGGGAGAGCUGCUGGGCUGGCACUCGGAGGAAGCCCAGAGAAGCCAUGUAGGGAUUAUGGAACAUGGCAGAUGAGACCUUGGGAAGCAGCUGUGCUGUAAGGAAGCAGAGCUGCAGGCACAGAGGAAAAGGUCCUAUCCCAUGGAGAUGGUCCUGCCUUCCUUCUCGGACAACUGCACAGCUACCAGGAGAGGAGCACUGGAGGACGAGGGCAGGAUGGAGGGAAGCAG